rnacentral:rRNA from 1 species
GACGAACGCUGGCGGCGUGCUUAACACAUGCAAGUCGAACGGAAAGGCCCUGCUUUUGUGGGGUGCUCGAGUGGCGAACGGGUGAGUAACACGUGAGUAACCUGCCCUUGACUUUGGGAUAACUUCAGGAAACUGGGGCUAAUACCGGAUAGGAGCUCCUGCUGCAUGGUGGGGGUUGGAAAGUUUCGGCGGUUGGGGAUGGACUCGCGGCUUAUCAGCUUGUUGGUGGGGUAGUGGCUUACCAAGGCUUUGACGGGUAGCCGGCCUGAGAGGGUGACCGGCCACAUUGGGACUGAGAUACGGCCCAGACUCCUACGGGAGGCAGCAGUGGGGAAUAUUGCACAAUGGGCGGAAGCCUGAUGCAGCAACGCCGCGUGCGGGAUGACGGCCUUCGGGUUGUAAACCGCUUUCGCCUGUGACGAAGCGUGAGUGACGGUAAUGGGUAAAGAAGCACCGGCUAACUACGUGCCAGCAGCCGCGGUGAUACGUAGGGUGCGAGCGUUGUCCGGAUUUAUUGGGCGUAAAGGGCUCGUAGGUGGUUGAUCGCGUCGGAAGUGUAAUCUUGGGGCUUAACCCUGAGCGUGCUUUCGAUACGGGUUGACUUGAGGAAGGUAGGGGAGAAUGGAAUUCCUGGUGGAGCGGUGGAAUGCGCAGAUAUCAGGAGGAACACCAGUGGCGAAGGCGGUUCUCUGGGCCUUUCCUGACGCUGAGGAGCGAAAGCGUGGGGAGCGAACAGGCUUAGAUACCCUGGUAGUCCACGCUGUAAACGGUGGGUACUAGGUGUGGGGUCCAUUCCACGGGUUCCGUGCCGUAGCUAACGCUUUAAGUACCCCGCCUGGGGAGUACGGCCGCAAGGCUAAAACUCAAAGGAAUUGACGGGGCCCCGCACAAGCGGCGGAGCAUGCGGAUUAAUUCGAUGCAACGCGUAGAACCUUACCUGGGUUUGACAUGGAUCGGGAGUGCUCAGAGAUGGGUGUGCCUCUUUUGGGGUCGGUUCACAGGUGGUGCAUGGCUGUCGUCAGCUCGUGUCGUGAGAUGUUGGGUUAAGUCCCGCAACGAGCGCAACCCUUGUUCACUGUUGCCAGCACGUUAUGGUGGGGACUCAGUGGAGACCGCCGGGGUCAACUCGGAGGAAGGUGGGGAUGACGUCAAGUCAUCAUGCCCCUUAUGUCCAGGGCUUCACGCAUGCUACAAUGGCUGGUACAGAGAGUGGCGAGCCUGUGAGGGUGAGCGAAUCUCGGAAAGCCGGUCUCAGUUCGGAUUGGGGUCUGCAACUCGACCUCAUGAAGUCGGAGUCGCUAGUAAUCGCAGAUCAGCAACGCUGCGGUGAAUACGUUCCCGGGGCUUGUACACACCGCCCGUCAAGUCAUGAAAGUUGGUAACACCCGAAGCCGGUGGCCUAACCGUUGUGGGGGAGCCGUCGAAGGUGGGACUGGUGAUUAGGAC